CUCAACUGACUGAGCUACCCAUGUGUCUUGGUUAGGAACUUUACUAAAUAACUUUUGUGAUUUGAGAAAUGGGUCUUACUUUACUUAUUGUAAGUUCUGAGAAAUUAGCAAUGACAGUCACUUCUCCUAACAGUCCUCCCAUCCUAACCAAGCUACACCAGCCUGUGGUUUCUCAGUAGGAAUGAAGUACCAUUAUAACAGAAGCUGUGUGUACAAAACUAGAAACCAAUCCUCUCCUGCCACUAAUCAAACCAACUCUUCCCCCUUGAACUUUCUAAUUGACUCUUGGUUUUGGAUAAUGGAAUUAUAGAAAGGUAAGUCUUCUGGAAUUGUGGUGUGGGCAUCAGCAGAGAGGAAAAUUCUAUGAACUGUGGGGACCUUGCUGUGUACAUUCUCACUGCUUCCAUUGCAAUCCAGGCUUGGGAUGGACAAAAGAAAUCUAGUAGGAUAGUCUUUCUUAGCUGUGCUCUACAGAGCCCUGGGUGUUCUGAGGAAAUGGGAGAGGAGAGGCACACAGGUAGGAAAGUCUCUGCAUAUCCCCCACUUUCUCAUGCCCUUUUAAGUAGAGUAUCUCCACUUUGGAGCUGUUGAACUUUCCAAAAGAAGACCAUCUCAGUUGGCUUGUGGUUGAGAUACUGAUUUUUUUUUAAGUUUUUUUUUUAUUGUGAGAGAGACAAAGACAGUGUAAAUGGGGGAGGGCAGAGAAAGAGGGAGGGAGAGAAUCCCUAGCUGCCAGCACAGAGCCCAAUGUGGGGCUUGAACUCAUGAAACUAGGGGAUCAUAACCUGAGCCAAAAUCAAGAGUCAGAAACUUAACCAACUGAGCCACCCAGGUGCCCCAAGAUACUGAUUUAAUCAAGGUCUGCCUCCUGCUACUCAAAUGAUUUUCCUGUUUUCAUAUUACUUGUUUCAUCAAAUGUCAACUCCUUUGGUGACUUUCAUAGUCUUUCUACUGCCCUUCCACGCCUUCCACAAACUUCCUCCACUCCAAUUAAACUCAUCUCCUAUUACCUCAUAGUUCUCUUAUUCCCUCCUCUGUAAGUUUAGUCAAUAUCUCCCCUUGGACACAGUACCGAGGAAAGAGAUAGAAAUGUCAAGUCUUUCCACAAAAGAGGACUAUUUGCUUAUCUUAGUACCUGCAGCCUAAGGAAGGCUUCUAAUUUAACACACAAGGGGCUGACUGCAAUGCUCUCCAGAGAUAUGAAAGGCUGGUAGGCAUCAUAUUCACACUUGCCCUCUGCCUCACUCCAGGUUGCUAUCUCUCAGAAAGGAGGCUUGUGCAUGUUUAGUGCCCUGGUUUGUGGAUGCUCCCCAGAAAAUACCCCAUAUGUUCAUGGGUCCCAUAGGGCUGCAACAAAUAGUGCUUAGCCAGCUGCCCCCUCCCCUGCCAUGUCACAAUACAGAAGCAGAAUACUGAGAUGUCAUCUUUCUGUCAAAGAGACUAAUUCAUAUAUCUUAGUAGCUGUCACUAAGAAGCUGGCUUCUAAUUUAACAUACAUCAAGGGGCUGACUGCAAUACUCAGAGACUGGGCAGGCUAUCUUCCCCACUCCAGUUUGCCAGUACUUCCAAGAAAGGAGUUUGUACACAGGUCUGGUGUCCUGGAUUUUGUAGCUGCUGCCCAGAGGACACAUCCCUUGAUAGCCGGGCUCUGGUGACCAGCAGGGCUUGUGUUCGCAGGCCCAAUGGUAUGGCACAAAGAAACAGUUGUUAAAUGGCUAUCACCCCAAGGCUCAGCAGAAAUAAAACAGAAAUGGCCAUCUCCUAGUCUUCGCCUAGAAGAGGCAUAUAUGCAUAUUUUAAAAGCUCCUACCUGAGGAUCCAGAUUCCAAUCAGCCUGCAUCUAGGUACUGAGAUCUGCCCCUUUUGGAUACCAAUAGGCUACGACACCCUAAACUAUUGGGAGCCACUACGAACAAAGAAGAGGGCUUGGACAAUGACAAAGGUUUUAGAAACAACCAAGAGCUAGAGCAUUGUUGAACAAUAAGGAUCAUGUCCUACAUGAGACCACUCAUUCAAGACUGGGAGAGGUAGCUGUUUUACCUAAUGCAUAGAAAUCAAUGCAGAAAAUCAAAGAAAAUGAAGAAACAGAGGAAUGGGCUUCAAACAGAAGAGCAAAAUAAAAUCUCAGAAAAAGAGGUUUAAGAAAUUUGAAGAUUCAUAGAAUUAUGCAUGUGUAGAAGUUCUAAAACUAACAGAAGUUUAAUUGCUUAAAACCAAUUUACUGAGGCGAGUCAAUUUUCUGUGUGGUAAAGGAAGCCACAAGGAAGAAAACGGAAGCCUGGAAGUGGUUGCUGAUGUUAAUGACUCCUCCCACUUGAGAAGGCAGAGCCUUUGUUAGGCUGAGGCUCACAUCUCAGCCCUGAGGCAUUGCAUCACUGUGGUAGCCAUGGUUGCGAGUGGCUCAGAUUUCCCUUCAAGAAAAGAACUUGCCAUUCAGCAGUGAGGAGGGCACUUACCUGAAAACCUCCAACUGCUGUGCCUUCGGGAUCUGCUGUAGCAUUUACACUGAGAUCACCGCUCCCCAGGCAGCCCCCGGUCAAUAACGGCCCAGUGAUUACCAGGGUCCAGCCAUUUCUGCCCAACAUGGGGCUCCUUUCCAGGCAACCUUUGUGCUGGAGACUGCUCAGAGGAGAUGGGCUGCAAUGUGAAGCUCAUAUCCCAUCCUCCUUCCUUCGCCUUUUCCUUUCAUGGAUAUCAGAUUCACAUCGUGGUCUAAAGGCUUUCUCUGCCCUGAUCCUGCUUGCUCUCCCCUUUGUCUUUCCCAGGUGUUAUGUCAGAUAAAUCUCUUAGGCUUCUCAGACUCCAUCCUGGCAUCUGGUUCCUGGAGAAGCUACCCCAAACUACAUUUUGUUUCCUUAUCUCUAAAAAUGAAGAUACUAUAUCUGUAAUUAUAUUUGUAAGGAUUAAAUAACAUCUAUACAUAGA